CAGUAGCCGCGGUAAUACGAAGGGGGCUAGCGUUAAUCAGAAUUACUGGGCGUAAAGCGUGCGCAGGCGGUUUGUUAAGACGGAUGUGAAAUCCCCGGGCUCAACCUGGGAACUGCAUUCGUGACUGGCAAGCUAGAGUAUGGCAGAGGGGGGUGGAAUUCCACGUGUAGCAGUGAAAUGCGUAGAGAUGUGGAGGAACACCGAUGGCGAAGGCAGCCCCCUGGGCCAAUACUGACGCUCAUGCACGAAAGCGUGGGGAGCAAACAGGAUUAGAUACCCGCGUAGUCCCUGUCUCUUAUAC
rnacentral:rRNA from 1 species